GACGAACGCUGGCGGCGUGCUUAACACAUGCAAGUCGAGCGGAAAGGCUCCUUCGGGGGUACUCGAGCGGCGAACGGGUGAGUAACACGUGAGUAAUCUGCCCUUGGCUUUGGGAUAACUACCGGAAACGGUGGCUAAUACCGGAUACGACCACUCCUUGCAGGAGGUGGUGGUGGAAAGUUUUUUCGGCCAGGGAUGUGCUCGCGGCCUAUCAGCUUGUUGGUGGGGUAAUGGCCUACCAAGGCUUCGACGGGUAGCCGGCCUGAGAGGGGUGACCGGCCACACUGGGACUGAGACACGGCCCAGACUCCCUACGGGAGGCAGCAGUGGGGAAUAUUGGACAAUGGGCGGAAA
rnacentral:rRNA from 1 species